UAGCCGAGUUGAGAGACUGAUCGGCCACAAUGGAACUGAGACACGGUCCAUACUCCUACGGGAGGCAGCAGUAGGGAAUCUUCCACAAUGGGCGCAAGCCUGAUGGAGCAACACCGCGUGAGUGAAGAAGGGUUUCGGCUCGUAAAGCUCUGUUGUUGGAGAAGAACGUGCGUGAGAGUAACUGUUCAUGCAGUGACGGUAUCCAACCAGAAAGUCACGGCUAACUACGUGCCAGCAGCCGCGGUAAUACGUAGGUGGCAAGCGUUAUCCGGAUUUAUUGGGCGUAAAGCGAGCGCAGGCGGUUGCUUAGGUCUGGUGUGAAAGCCUUCGGCUUAACCGAAGAAGUGCAUCGGAAACCGGGCGACUUGAGUGCAGAAGAGGACAGUGGAACUCCAUGUGUAGCGGUGGAAUGCGUAGAUAUAUGGAAGAACACCAGUGGCGAAGGCGGCUGUCUGGUCUGCAACUGACGCUGAGGCUCGAAAGCAUGGGUAGCGAACAGGAUUAGAUACCCUGGUAGUCCAUGCCGUAAACGAUGAGUGCUAGGUGUUGGAGGGUUUCCGCCCUUCA
rnacentral:rRNA from 1 species